GNCUAAAAUCCGUUGGCUUUAUUGACCGUGAGGGUUCAAGUCCCUCUACCCCCA
rnacentral:tRNA from 1 species